UACGUAGGCAGCAAGCGUUGUUCGGAGUUACUGGGCGUAAAGAGUGCGUAGGCGGUUCUCUAAGUUUGGUGUGAAAUCUCCCGGCUUAACUGGGAGGGUGCGCCGAAAACUGGAGUGCUUGAGUAUGGGAGAGGCAAGCGGAAUUCCUGGUGUAGCGGUGAAAUGCGUAGAUAUCAGGAGGAACACCUGUGGUGUAGACAGCUUGCUGGACCAUUACUGACGCUGAGGCACGAAAGCGUGGGUAGCAAACAGG
rnacentral:rRNA from 1 species